GUCAUAUAUGAAGCAUUUUUGCCAACUAUCUAGCUGAUGAGGGACCUAACAUAGUAUUCAUAGCCAACUAUAGAUUUUUAUCUCCAUACUUCUAUAGAUGGAACGGUUAGUUUGUCAACUUGAUAUAAUUCAUAUGCUUCUUGUUCAAAUUAAUGACCGUCGGCUAGGUUCAUGAAAUUUAAUUAAUCAUAAUUGUAGAGAUAGAUUGUUUAUGAAGGUUUCUAAUUUCUAUUUUGGCUUUAGAGUGCAGAGAGUAAUAAUUAUCUUCCUUUAUAAGGUGUUGCAUUGAGUUCCCGAGACUCUAUUUUUCCAUUUGAAAAGAAGAAGAAUUGUGUGUUUCAUAUGUAUUCUUUUCGGUUCAUAUAUUUUUUUGUUAAGAAAAU
rnacentral:misc_RNA from 1 species